rnacentral:rRNA from 1 species
CAUCUAAGUACCCCGAGGAAAAGAAAUCAACCGAGAUUCCCCCAGUAGCGGCGAGCGAACGGGGAGCAGCCCAGAGCCUGAAUCAGUGUGUGUGUUAGUGGAAGCGUCUGGAAAGGCGCGCGAUACAGGGUGACAGCCCCGUACACAAAAAUGCACAUAUUGUGAGCUCGAUGAGUAGGGCGGGACACGUGGUAUCCUGUCUGAAUAUGGGGGGCCCAUCCUCCAAGGCUAAAUACUCCUGACUGACCGAUAGUGAACCAGUACCGUGAGGGAAAGGCGAAAAGAACCCCGGCGAGGGGAGUGAAAAAGAACCUGAAACCGUGUACGUACAAGCAGUGGGAGCACGCUUAGGCGUGUGACUGCGUACCUUUUGUAUAAUGGGUCAGCGACUUAUAUUCUGUAGCAAGGUUAACCGAAUAGGGGAGCCGAAGGGAAACCGAGUCUUAACUGGGCGUUAAGUUGCAGGGUAUAGACCCGAAACCCGGUGAUCUAGCCAUGGGCAGGUUGAAGGUUGGGUAACACUAACUGGAGGACCGAACCGACUAAUGUUGAAAAAUUAGCGGAUGACUUGUGGCUGGGGGUGAAAGGCCAAUCAAACCGGGAGAUAGCUGGUUCUCCCCGAAAGCUAUUUAGGUAGCGCCUCGUGAAUUCAUCUCCGGGGGUAGAGCACUGUUUCGGCA